AGCGAGAUGGCGCAGCUGGUAGCGCGCUGGGCUCAUACGUGUUCCUAUUUGGUUUCAUGGUGAUCACCCAGAGGUCGUCGGAUCGAAACUGACUCUCGCUA